AUUAAUAAAAGCUGGCCCACCAUGGAGUUCAUUAAAGCCUAUCCACUAGAGUUAGAUUCCUCCAGGUCCCCCAUUGCACAUUGAAUAUUGUUUCUGUCUCUCUUUUAUUCCCCAUUUUUUUCUCUCCAGGUAUUCGAAGGUCUGAAGAGCUCCCAAUGCUGGGCCAUGUUCUACAUGCUGAAGACUAGAGUCAGAUGCAGGCUUUGCACCUAGGGAAUGCAAUCAGAACAGUGGCAGAUUGGCUCCUCUGCACCAGACACUGUUUCCAGCACUUGGUGUAUGAGAGAGACAGAGUUAUGUGUACACCUGGAACUUCUACUCUACUGGAGGAGAUAAAAAUCCCAACAAAUAGAUUGGAGGAUGACAUUUCCAGGCCUGUGGAAGCUGAGCAUGGGCACCGCAGGCCAGCAGACUUUUUGGGAUGGUGGCAGGUAAAGAACUGUGAUCUCUUCCCUCUCAUACGCCAAAGUCACUAUGUGGAAAUCUAUGUACCAGCCCAGAACAUAAGAAAGAGAAUUGGUAAAGAUGAAAGUGAGAGAUUUGGUAAAAUGUAUAUACAACGACCUCAGUAAUGAAACCUGUGUUGCUCUGACUUCUUUUUUUUUGUUUUUGUUAAAUUCUUUUAUUGGUACAUUGUAGGUAUACAACACAAUUACAUUUCUCAUUGGGAAUUGUACCUUUACAUGAUGCAUCUUGGUUCUUACUUUUUCCCCAUUCCUAGCCCUCCCUUCACCCCCUCCACCCUUCCCUAUUUACAAAGACUUUAAUUCCAUUUUUUCCAUUUCUCAUCAUUUUUCCUUUCCCUUCUUUCCUUUCUCCUGCCCCUCCCACUACCCCUACCCCUUAUUAAUAGCAACAAUAUCUAGCUUUUAAGUUGUCAUUGUGAAAUGUGUCUGCAUGCUUGAAAGGUGGCCCCCACCUGCUACUGCAUCCUGCAGUUGAUGUAAUUUCUCACCAUCAUGAAAAGAGGCGGAGCUACUUCUCACCCAAAGGCAUGCAGAAUCACACCUGGCAGGGCUGCCACGACAGGGAAAUACUGGAG
rnacentral:lncRNA from 1 species